UUGUUUUUUGGUUAUUUUUUUUUUUAGGAAUUAGAUUUUUGCAGUAGACCUGGAAGAAUUCACUUUAUUUCAAAACAUACUAGUUUAAUCACAUAAAGGUUCCCAUAUUAACUCGUCAGUCUUUUAGAUUCUUUUUCUCAUUUAGGUUUUCCAGAAUUUACUGUUAAUUUAGCAAUCAAGCAGGGAUGGCACUUCGUUCUUGAAAAGAUGGCUAUGGAAAAACCUGUGUCUAACAACACAUACCUGACAGAGGGCAACGAUUUUGCUGUUAUUACAGGGCCAAAUACGAGUGGCAAAACAACUUUGGCAUGGAACUGCUGAAGGAGAGGAGUUUCUGGUGGGCUCCCAGUGGCAUCUGAUGGAGUGACGCUGACAAGGAGUCGACAUCCUGGCAAUGGCAGGAACUUCCCAGAUGGCGAGGAGGCCUUCCUUCACACCCCAUGUGGAUCCACCCCACCAAGCAUCUGAGAGCUGAGUCGAAGGCUACGACCCGCAGAGGGGGGAUGAAAGCGGGGUGCCGCGUCGGGGCUCAUGACCUGGGAUUUUUGAGUCAGCUUUGGGGACGGGGAGGUCCAGGCUGUGGCCCCUUAGGCUGCACGGUGGGAGAGCCUCACUUUUGUUCACAGUGCUGAGGUGUGCAGGACAGAGCAGCCUCUGGGCGCGUCGUGUCACUCGUCCAUCGUGCCUUCUGUGUCUUUUGUGCCUCUUGUGUUGUAUGUGCCUUCCCUAUCUCUUCUGGGGGCUUACCAGAAACCCCAGCAUCACUUAUAGCAUCUCCAAUCUCUGGGCUCCUCGGCUCGGCUGCUCUCAGAGGCCUUGGAAUCGCGUCUCUUUUGACAAGCAUCCGAUUGGAUGUCUUUUAGACGUCUUCUUCCGAGCUGUGUCAACAGCCGUGCGCCGCGAGGAUCCAU